GGCCAGCUUGACUUCACACUGCCCCAUCCUUCCUCCCACACUCCCUCUGGUUCAUUCACCUCUCCGCUGGGUUUCCCAGGCUCCACUACACAGGCACACUACAAGAGGGGCCCACAGGUGGGGGUGCUGCCUACCUGGAGAGGCGAUCCGGGCUCAGAGAGGGGCCCAGGGGCUGGGUGAGCUCCCAGGAAGGCCUGCAGAGUGGAGGCAGUGGCUGAGGCCCAGCUCACACCUGGUGAUGCCCUGUACACACCUGAUGAAUCCCAGCCCCCUGGUCCUUCUUCCCCGAGGCUCCAACUGCCGCGCUCACCCUCACAGAGAUUCUUAAAGGGGCCACUCCCCAACACCCGCCCCCAACCAGGUGGGGCCAAGCAAGUUCAGGGGACAAAGGUUUUGAAUUUAAAUCACCACCAACCCUCAUCAGAUAUUGAAUACAUUUUUGAAAAGGCAUUAGGGGGCUGGGGAUGUAGCUCAGUGGUUCCACAGCCUGCCUCGCAAGCACAAGGUCCUGAGUUCAAUCACUGGUACAAAAAAACAACAACAAAAGGCAUUCAGGGACAUGGUGGAAUCUGCAUCCCAGAAUCAUCCCUCACUGGGCUCUAUGGAC
rnacentral:lncRNA from 1 species